rnacentral:tmRNA from 1 species
AUAUUAUAAUAGCAAAGUUGUUUUAACAACUAUAGCGAUAAAUGCUUUAUGUAAUAUGUUGUGCGGACCCGGGGGCGGUACCCGGCACCUCCACCAAAAGUUAUGGGGGUGAAAUAGGUUUGACGUUGACUUAAAGAUAAAGACUUUGCUCGGCAUUGUACCGCCGUUAUCGGGCUAUUUUAUAAACGCUAACGAUAAUAGAUUAGCACUUGCUGCCUAGAUUCUAGGUAAGCGCGGUUUGGGGCACCGAGCAACAGAACGCCCCAUU